CCUACGGGGAGCAGCAGUCGAGAAUCAUUCACAAUGGGGGAAACCCUGAUGGUGCGACGCCGCGUGGGGGAAUGAAGGUCUUCGGAUUGUAAACCCCUGUCAUGUGGGAGCAAAUUAAAAAGAUAGUACCACAAGAGGAAGAGACGGCUAACUCUGUGCCAGCAGCCGCGGUAAUACAGAGGUCUCAAGCGUUGUUCGGAAUCACUGGGCGUAAAGCGUGCGUAGGCUGUUUCGUAAGUCGUGUGUGAAAGGCGCGGGCUCAACCCGCGGACGGCACAUGAUACUGCGAGACUAGAGUAAGGGAGGGGGAACCGGAAUGCUCGGUGUAGCAGUGAAAUGCGUAGAUAUCGAGAGGAACACUCGUGGCGAAGGCGGGUUCCUGGACAUUAACUGACGCUGAGGCACGAAGGCCAGGGGAGCGAAAGGGAUUAGAUACCCCUGUAGUC
rnacentral:rRNA from 1 species